AUUGAACGCUGGCGGCAGGCCUAACACAUGAAAGUCGAGCGAGCGGCGGACGGGUGAGUAAUGUAUGGGGACUGCCCGCUAGAGGGGGAUAACUACUGGAAACGGUAGCUAAUACCGCAUACUAUCGGAUAACCCAUAUGGGAUUAGCUAGUAGGUGAGGUAAUGGCUCACCUAGGCGACGAUCCCUAGCUGGUCUGAGAGGAUGAUCAGCCACAGUGGGACUGAGACCGGGCCCAGACGCCUGCGGAGGGAGCAGUGGGGAAUAUUGGACAAUGGGCGCAAGCCUGAUGCAGUCAUGCCGCGUGUAUGAAGAAGGCCCUAGGGUUGUAAAGUACUUUCAGUCGGGAGGCGUUACCGACAGAAGAAGCACCGGCUAACUCCUUGCCAGCAGCGCGGUAAUUC
rnacentral:rRNA from 1 species